UUUGUCUUCAUUCAGUAUGAAGUUGAGAGCCGUUGGGGCUGGCCGCCUCUGGCAUGAAAUUUAGAGCCGCUGGGUCGGCCGCCUCCUCCACCCGCCAGGUAUUGUGAGUGGAAUCACAGUAGAAGCAAAACCCCAAGCAAAACUAUCAAUAUGCAGGUCAGAUCGGAGGAACAUUGAAACGGUCAGAUCGAAGGGGAAUUGCAGGAGAAGAAUGAAGGGGCUAUAUGUAAUAAUUAAAUGUCAUCGUCUUCAUAGAUUUCGAUAUCGAUUUCUUCCCGUCGUUGGCUCGCCGGCAUUGGGGUUGCAUUUGCAACUUACGUCGCUGGAUUGAGGCUUGUGUGAGGUAUUGGGUUUGAAAAUUUGAUGGUGAUGAUGAUGUCGUCGAAGGCCAUGGAAGAGAGCCUUCUUGGGCCCUUGGCGCUGCAAACCUACCCCUUGCGGAGGGGCUGCUGGCAG
rnacentral:lncRNA from 1 species